rnacentral:rRNA from 1 species
UACAGAGGUCUCAAGCGUUGUUCGGAUUCAUUGGGCGUAAAGGGUGCGUAGGCGGCGCGGUAAGUCGGGUGUGAAAUCUUGGAGCUUAACUCCGAAACUGCAUUCGAUACUGCCGUGCUUGAGGACUGGAGAGGAGACUGGAAUUUACGGUGUAGCGGUGAAAUGCGUAGAUAUCGUAAGGAAGACCAGUGGCGAAGGCGGCAUCCUGGACCAAUAUUGACGCUGAGGAGCGAAAGCCAGGGGAGCAAACGGG